CACGCCCGGGGCGUCCCGANNUCUCAUCGCGAGAUGNGGGCGCACCCAGAGCGUACACGCUGGGACCCGAAAGAUGGUGAACUAUGCCUGGUCAGGACGAAGUCAGGNNNGGAAACCCUGAUGGAGGUCCGUAGCGAUUCUGACGUGCAAAUCGAUCGUCGGAACUGGGUAUAGGGGCGAAAGACUAAUCGAACCAUCUAGUAGCUGGUUCCCUCCGAAGUUUCCCUCAGGAUAGCUGGCGCUCGCNUNNNUCGCGAGUCUCAUCCGGUAAAGCGAAUGAUUAGAGGCAUUGGGGUCGAAACGGCCUCAACC
rnacentral:rRNA from 1 species